rnacentral:rRNA from 1 species
CGGGAGGCAGCAGUGGGGAAUAUUGCACAAUGGGGGAAACCCUGAUGCAGCGACGCCGCGUGAGCGAUGAAGUAUCUCGGUAUGUAAAGCUCUAUCAGCAGGGAAGAAAGUGACAGUACCUGACUAAGAAGCCCCGGCUAACUACGUGCCAGCAGCCGCGGUAAUACGUAGGGGGCAAGCGUUAUCCGGAUUCACUGGGCGUAAAGGGAGCGCAGGCGGCACGGCAAGUCUGGUGUGAAAACCCGGGGCUCAACCCCGGGACUGCAUUGGAAACUGCCGGGCUGGAGUGUCGGAGGGGUAAGCGGAAUUCCUAGUGUAGCGGUGAAAUGCGUAGAUAUUAGGAGGAACACCAGUGGCGAAGGCGGCUUACUGGACGAUGACUGACGCUGAGGCUCGAAAGCGUGGGGAGCAAACAGGAUUAGAUACCCUGGUAG